rnacentral:rRNA from 1 species
GUCCACGCUGUAAACGAUGGGCACUAGGUGUCGGCUGUUAUGGUCGGCGCCGUAGCUAACGCAUUAAGUGCCCCACCUGGGAAGUACGACCGCAAGGUUGAAACUCAAAGGAAUUGACGGGGGCCCGCACAAGCGGUGGAGUAUGUGGUUUAAUUCGAUGCAACGCGAAGAACCUUACCUGGGCUUGACAUGCUGGUUACCAACCUGAAAGGGAAGGGAUCCCGGCUUGCCGGGAAGCCAGCACAGGUGCUGCAUGGCUGUCGU